AGGCGCCGCGGUUGUUGUCGGACGCGGCGACACGGCAAAAGAGGACAUCGCGCACGUCAGAGCCCAUCGACGGAUAGGCAUCCGCGAGACCACGGUCACUGUACAAUACGCCCUCGACGCGGUAGAGCGAAAUAGGUGCGGCUGCGGACGAGGUGACUGAGCGAGCGAGUGCGUUCGCCACAUGAUCUGAUGACGCGCCCGACUGCACCGCACGCCACGCGUCGACCAGAGCCGCGCGAUUGUCCGGCACGGAGAACGGGUUGAGCGCGCUAUCGCGCAUAGGGCGCGCACUCGACGUCAGGUCGAUGCACGGCGCACUGAGCGGCGUCGCAACUACGCGAUCCCCUACGAGCACCAGAACGUCGGGCCGUUCUAGCGCGCACGUCGUCAGCGCGUCCGCCAGGCGGUGCGCUGCGACGGCUCCACCCAGCAGACGGACCACGUUGAACGAGCACGGGUCGCCCGGGAGCGCCGCGGAUGUCUCUGCGAGGGGACUCACGGCGGCCACGGCGUCUUCGGUACACACCACGUCGCCGUCGGCCUCGGUCGGGCGGACCGGCAGCACGUCGCCUAGUGCAAAUGCCACGCGCGCAAAGGCGAUGCCGCCCGAACCAGCACUCACCAUGGUGUGCGGCGACAGCGACCUCAGAGCACCGACAAACUCGGCCACUGUGCCCGCGGUUUGGCGGCGCGCAUCCUCUUUCACCACCGCGCGCACGUUACGAUCGCCCGAGACAGGCAAGGGUGGGACGACCGGCCGUGCGGCCUCUCGGGCCUGAGGCGACGGCUCCCCUGGCAAGUCUGGCGGACACGCGCCAACGUGAUUGAUCACGUCGAGCGCGAUCGUAUCCAAAAAAGACACGAGGGCGCUGUGCGAGACGACACCCGGCGCGCGCUGAUCGAGCCCAUCAUCGCCAUUGUCGACCAUGCCGCUCAGGGCGUCGACGAUCGUGCGCACCACGCGCUGACCAGACGGCGCUUGCCCGUCGCCUCGGGCAAAAGGCAGCGCCUCCAUGGCGGUCACAAAACCAGAGAGCGCCGUGCCGAUGGCGGACGACUUUGGCAGGCCGGCCAUAUUCUCGUGAUGUCUCUCCGCGUACACCUUUCUUCCCCCGAAUAAAAAAGAAAAGAUUCUCUUUGGC
rnacentral:lncRNA from 1 species